UACGGAGGGUGCGAGCGUUGUCCGGAAUCAUUGGGCGUAAAGGGCGCGUAGGUGGCGGGACAAGCGUGCGGUGAAAGCUCGGGGCUCAACCCCGAGUCGGCCGUGCGAACUGUCUUGCUUGAGCACUGUAGAGGCAGGCGGAAUUCCGGGUGUAGCGGUGGAAUGCGUAGAGAUCCGGAAGAACACCAGUGGCGAAGGCGACACGCUGGGCCGUACCUGACGCUAAAGCGCGACAGCAUGGGGAGCAAACGGG
rnacentral:rRNA from 1 species